GAGUGCGACCGGGUGAGUAAUGUUUCGGAACGUCCCUUUCAGUGGGGGAUAACGUAGCGAAAGUUCCGCUAAUCCCGCAUAUUCUGUGAGCAGGUAAGCAGGGGAUCGCAAGCCCUUGCGCUGAUUGGGCGGCCGAUAUCAGAUUAGCUAGUUGGUAAGGUAAAGGCUCACCAAGGCGCCGAUCUGUAGCGGGUCUGCCCGGAUGUCCGCCACACUGGAACUGAGCCCCGGUCCAGACUCCUCCGGGAGGCAGCAGUGGGGAAUUUUGGACAAUGGGGGCAACCCUGAUCCAGCCAUGCCGCGUGAGUGAAGAAGGCCUUCGGGUUGUAAAGCUCUUUCGUCCGGGAAGAAAUCGCAUCAGCUAAUACCUGGUGGGAUGCGGUUCGGCCUC
rnacentral:rRNA from 1 species